rnacentral:lncRNA from 1 species
CAGAGAGAAUCUCUGGUGUUCAAAUCCGUCUUUCUCUUAUAACUGUCCCAGAGAAAACCUAAAGAAAGCCAUUAAUAAACAAAUCACUUCAACAACUUCCAGUGCAUGAGUUGACACCAUCUCCAAACUGCGUCUUCCGUGAAUGGUCUUUCGUUUGUGUUUCAGUUUGGCCCAGCACCUGUGGUGAAGGAAAUGCUCUUAGUUAAGUUGUACCCUGACUCCUUCUCCUGCCACAGUGAUAGCUGAGAUGACAAACACAGUUAAUGUUCCCUAUGGGGAAAAGUGAGUAAAUAGCAAUAGCUAUAUCUUAGGUGUUUAAGAGGAUCGAUAUCUUUUGAAAUUUUGUUUUAGUAUUUUGAGACAGGAUCUUGUGUACAUCAGCUUGGUCUCAAUUUUGCUAUGGAGCUGAGGUUAUCCUGAAACCCAUGAGUCUCCUACUAUGGAGUGGGUAAGGCUAUCUUACCCGCUCUCAUGAGUUCUUGGUUUAUUCUCACAGAAGUAAGGUUGAUAGAGUUCCUGCAGAUGUAGACUCACAGCUGACUUUGCUGUUUCAAGCAUCUUGGAUCUCUCAUAUAUUAUGUUUCAAACCGUGAUCCCUGGACCUCACACAUGCAAACAGGGAUACAGUUUCAAAGCACAGAUUUCUAAACUUAACAUGAGAUGUGUCACCUUAGAACAUUCGAGAAUAAGCUCUGAGAAUCUGCUUCUUAGGUCUGUGAAAACAACACUGGGAAGAGGAGUGUAGUAAUGGUCUUUUGGAAGAAAAAAAAGUUCUAGAUACAGUUGUUUAAAGGAUGUAGACAUUUAAUACUCAUGGCUACCCUUAGAAGCUGUGUUUUGUAUUGCAACCUGCCAAAUGCCUUUUAGCUAGGGAUGCUUUAUGAUAAUGAAUUGUAAGCACCUCUGCCCUGUGAGUGUUUAAAUGUGUGGGCAUUGUUCUAGCAUCUCUGGCCUGUGAGCAUAUAACUGUGUAGGCACUGUUUCAGCACUUCUGGCACCUGGACUCUCUUCCCACUGUCUUCAUUUCAUAUAUAUAUAUAUCCCCAAGCAAAAAAUGACACAUGUUUCUUACUAUUUAUUUGAUUCUUAGGAUCCCCAACCUAAGACCAUCUUACACAGAUGUGUAAGAUCACAUUGUCUUACCUAGAAAUGAAAUCGAGUCUCAAGUAGAUCACUUCAUGUACCUAGUUCACAGAUGCAGGGAUCUAGAUCUGGGACCUCCAGCAUUAUCCUUCCCUGAGUUUUAAUCCUGCCUUUUCUCAGUGCACCAACUGCUUCUCACAUGAUAGAUGCAGACACAGCUAGGGUCACAUUUCCACCUGGUCUCUCUGAGAUAGGGUAUCUGGGAUGCUUUUUGAAUCCUCACCUUAUCCUGAAGAGGAGAGGAAAAUGGAUUAAAUUUUGAGGAAGAAUUGAAAAAUAAAUUAAAAAAAUAGCUGCAUGUAUAUGGUAUUUGCACAUAUAUAUGCUCAUGUUUAUGCAGGUGUGAUCCAGUGUGUGCAUGCGUGUACACACACACACACACACACACACACACACACACACACACACACACACACACUUACACACAGAAGCCAGAAUUACACAUGAGAUGUCUUCCUUUGCUCCAUUUAUUUAUUUCUUCAUUUGUUUGUUUAUGGGCAGGUCCUCUCAUUGAAUCAGCAGCUUGCCAUUUAGGUAGCCAGAUAACCCCUAGGAUCUGUCUACCCUUGUGAACUCUCCUCCCACCAGGCCUAGGGUAACAGGUGACUAGUGCCAUGCUCCUGCCCAUUGUCUACAGUGGUCCUGAGGCGCUAAACUGAGGUCCUAAUACUGGUACAGUAAAUAUUCUGAGCCAUCUCCCCAGCCCCAUGCUAACACUUUUGUUGACUCUAAUCAAUCCACUCCCUUAAUUAGUAGCUGGUGUGUGAGGCUAAGAAACCCAUUCUGGCCAGUUCUCAGUAAAUACUGACCAAUAGGACUACAGCAGAGACAGAACCAUUUUGUACCUGUGUUGCAGAUAAGGGUCUUUAACAGUAGGUCCUGGCCACAUGUGGCUUGUGGGACUGAGAAGCUCAUUUUCAUCUUAAUUAAUGUUUCUAUUCAAAUAGCCACAUGCAGCUGGUAGCCUCCCUACUAAGCAGCAUAGGUUCAGAUAACUGUAUGGGGAUACAGUGAGUAGCUUGGGACUCUAGUCAGGAGCCAUCUUACCUGUCUAAGUGUCUAAGUGACACUGCCCACCUCUCUCUCAUUUUCACUCCCUUAGGUAUCAAGUGGCCAUAACAAAGUGGCUAUUGCAACACCACAAUGAUCCCGUGUUAGAUUUGGGGACUCCCUCAAUAGUUUUGUGUCAAAAUAGCACAUUGUCUCCUCACAGUGAGCGAGUGCUCAUAACUGUAGUCGCCUGCUAUGGCUACAAUUCCUGUUCUUAGUUUUACUCUCAGAAUAAUUUGAAUCUACUUACUUCUUUUAAGACUUGAAAUAUACUUAAAAGCAUUGGUAACACAACACCCGUUUUUGUAUUUUUUAAAAUAAAUUCUUGGAAUCUCUUUGAUUAAAACUUUUGCUAUAACAGUGUCAACUGGCUAGACCUCCCCUCCCCCCCCCCCCCCCAGCUCCCGGGGACUGGACCACAAACCAAAGAGUACACAUGGAGUGACCCAUGGCUCCUGCCUCUUAUGUGGCAGAGGAUGGCCUUGUUGGACAUCAGUGGGAGGAGUGGCCCUUGGGCCUGAGGGGGUUCGAUGCCCCAGUGUAGGGGAAUGCAGGGUGGGAAGGUGGGAGUGAGUAGGUGGUUGGGGGAGCACCCUCAUAGAGGCAGGGGGAGGGGGGAUAGGAUGGGGGUUUCAGUAGGGGAGACUGGAGAAAGGGGAUAACAUUUGAAAUGUAAAUAAAGAAAAUAUACAAUAAAAGG